rnacentral:lncRNA from 1 species
GAAAACUCAGUCAUCCCCUACCAUUGCCAACCAUCCACAAAGCGUCGCACCAUAAACCGCAACCACUGUCGAUAUUGAAAUCGAAAAUAAUAAUCUUCAGGCAUGAUGGUCUCCAAAUUAGUGUAGUUGUUGAAAGUAUAAACAACGAACUUGUUCUCAAUGGAACCCUUCUGUAUAGCCCGAGAAGAAUAAUUCCUUCUUCCCAUGGAACCCUCUUCACCCUCCAACCGAUUGCUCUAGCCUAUAUAGGCAAAUCCACAUUGGUUUUGAGUGAUAUUGUUUGUGUUGUUUGAGAUUGGGGAUGACAAUGGUCGUGGUGGGCAUUGCGGCGCUGUGUAGAUGGGUCGUGACAGUAGGCGAUGAUGGGGUUUCUGAUUUUUAGUUUUAGGGAUUGGUGGGGGAUUUGGAAAAAUUGAAUAGUUAUUUAUUUUAUUAUAGAAAAUAUAAAUUUGCCAUUUUAUCCUUCACUUAAAAUUUUCAAGUUGAGUCAAACUUUUAAUUUUUGGGUUCACUGACGGAUUAAUGAAAAGAUUCUGUCCAUUGUCUAGGGUUGCAAGUCGAAGUGAAAAGUUUGAAACCGUAGAUGCAAAAAUAAAAUAUUCGAGUAUAGUUUACAAUAAAUUGAGGGGUCGUUUGUUCCACAUUUUUCCAACAAAAAUGUAUUUUAAACAUCACAUCAUGGAUCCUAUCUUAAAGUGUUGAAAUCAAAUAUUGUAGGCUGAUUUGAUGAAAAAAAAUAUUAUUUUCCCAAAUAAUGUGCACCAAACGGGGGCUAAGUGCUUGUUUGUUUAGAUUUUAAGUCAAUUAAAAUCAAUUUUUUUAUUAUUAUUUGACAUUCAGCUGUUAAUUUUGAAUUUUUUUUUUUUUUUAACAGAUAUGAUCCACUUUAUAGUCAAAAAAUCAAUUUUUAAAAUCCCUAACGAAAUCUUAAUGGUUUGAGACGCAGCAAU